rnacentral:rRNA from 1 species
AUUGAACGCUGGCGGCAGGCCUAACACAUGCAAGUCGGACGGUAGCACAGAGAGCUUGCUCUCGGGUGACGAGUGGCGGACGGGUGAGUAAUGUCUGGGGAUCUGCCCGAUAGAGGGGGAUAACCACUGGAAACGGUGGCUAAUACCGCAUAACGUCGCAAGACCAAAGAGGGGGACCUUCGGGCCUCUCACUAUCGGAUGAACCCAGAUGGGAUUAGCUAGUAGGCGGGGUAACGGCCCACCUAGGCGACGAUCCCUAGCUGGUCUGAGAGGAUGACCAGCCACACUGGAACUGAGACACGGUCCAGACUCCUACGGGAGGCAGCAGUGGGGAAUAUUGCACAAUGGGCGCAAGCCUGAUGCAGCCAUGCCGCGUGUAUGAAGAAGGCCUUCGGGUUGUAAAGUACUUUCAGCGGGGAGGAAGGCGAUGUGGUUAAUAACCGCAUUGAUUGACGUUACCCGCAGAAGAAGCACCGGCUAACUCCGUGCCAGCCGCCGCCGUAAUAC